rnacentral:rRNA from 1 species
UACAGAGGGUGCGAGCGUUGUCCGGAAUCACUGGGCGUAAAGGGCGCGUAGGCGGCGCGGUAAGCGUGCGGUGAAAGCCCGGGGCUCAACCCCGGGUCGGCCGUGCGGACUGCCGGGCUUGAGCACUGUAGAGGCAGGUGGAAUUCCGGGUGUAGCGGUGGAAUGCGUAGAGAUCCGGAAGAACACCGGUGGCGAAGGCGGCCUGCUGGGCAGUUGCUGACGCUGAGGCGCGACAGCGUGGGGAGCAAACAGG